AAAUGGCGACCGGCGCACGGGUGAGUAACGCGUAUGCAACCUACCUUUAACUGGGGCAUAGCUCGAGGAAACUCGAAUUAAUUCCCCAUAGUACAUUAUAAUAUCUCAUGAUAUAAAUGUUAAAGAUUUAUCGGUUAAAGAUGGGCAUGCGUCUGAUUAGUUUGUUGGUAAGGUAACGGCUUACCAAGACUACGAUCAGUAGGGGGUCUGAGAGGAUGAUCCCCCACACUGGUACUGAGACACGGACCAGACAUCUACGGAUGGCAGCAGUAAGGAAUAUUGGGCAAUGGGCGCAAGCCUGACCCAGCCAUGCCGCGUGCAGGAUGACGACCCUAUGGGUUGUAAACUGCUUUUAUAUAGGAAGAAAAUACUCUUGCGAGAGGAUCUGACGGUACUAUAUGAAUAAGGACCGGCUAACUCCGUGCCAGCAGCCGCGGUAAUACGGAGGGUUCAAGCGUUUUCCGGAUUUAUUGGGUUUAAAGAGUGCGUAGGUGGUUUAUUAAGUCAGUGGUGAAAUCCUGCAGCUCAACUGUAGAACUGCCAUUGAUACUGGUAAACUUGAGUUUGGUUUAGGUAAGCGGAAUUUAUGAUGUAGCGGUGAAAUGCAUAGAUAUCAUAAGGAACACCAAUAGCGAAGGCAGCUUACUGGA
rnacentral:rRNA from 1 species